UUCAUAAAAAAAUAUAAAUAAAUAAUUUUUAUCAAAAAGUAUAAAGAAAUAGUCAAUAAAAUGUCAAAUGAAGGAAUCAAACCUUUGAUCUUUCAUUUUAUUUUUAGUAAAAAAAAUUAGAGUGUUUUGCAAAAAGUAUUUUGACGUUUACUUUUAUUACACUAACUCUCAAUAGUUUAUAAAAUCUAUACUUACAUCUAGUUAAACUAAUGGCAUUAGUGAAACUAUUUACGUCAUGUUAAAAUUUGAAAUACACCA
rnacentral:lncRNA from 1 species